rnacentral:rRNA from 1 species
GACGAACGCUGGCGGCGUGCUUAACACAUGCAAGUCGAACGGAAAGGCCCUGCUUUUGUGGGGUGCUCGAGUGGCGAACGGGUGAGUAACACGUGAGUAACCUGCCCUUGACUUUGGGAUAACUUCAGGAAACUGGGGCUAAUACCGGAUAGGAGCUCCUGCUGCAUGGUGGGGUUGGAAAGUUUCGGCGGUUGGGGAUGGACUCGCGGCUUAUCCGCUUGUUGGGGGGGUGGCUUACCAAGGCUUUGACGGGUAGCCGGCCUGAGAGGGCGACCGGCCACAUUGGGACUGAGAUACGGCCCAGACUCCUACGGGAGGCAGCAGUGGGGAAUAUUGCACAAUGGGCGGAAGCCUGAUGCAGCAACGCCGCGUGCGGGAUGACGGCCUUCGGGUUGUAAACCGCUUUCGCCUGUGACGAAGCGUGAGUGACGGUAAUGGGUAAAGAAGCACCGGCUAACUACGUG